rnacentral:misc_RNA from 1 species
GUAGGUGAACCUGCGGAAGGAUCAUUACAGUAGUCACCCGGGUUGCCGCAAGGCCUCUCGGGUAACCUACCACCCUUUGUUUAUUACACUUUGUUGCUUUGGCAAGCCUGCCCUCGGGCCCGUCUCACGACCACCGGCUUCGGCUGGUCAGUGCCCGCCAGAGGACCCCAAACUCUUUUGUUAAUGUCGUCUGAGUACUAUAUAAUAGUUAAAACUUUCAACAACGGAUCUCUUGGUUCUG